GGCGAUGCUGUCAUUCUCCUCCAUGUUAGCCCUACUUCCGUCCUCUUCGGUGCCGAUUGGGGCUCUAUCGACAUUACUCUCGAUACCGCCGCUGAUAACCCGGAUGAUGAUGAUGCUUCGAAUUCUGAAAACGGUCAACAGCAGAACCGCGCCGAGCGCUCCAAACGUAAAUUGGAGGAUGAUUUUGACGCUUUCACUGCUUCGAAAGCCGCCGAUCUAGCCAAACCUAUAAAAGAUGCCCAAAUUCCUUACAAGAUUCACAUAGUGAAGGAUCAUGACAUGAGAGAGAGGCUGUGUUUGGAAGUGGAGAGAUUAGGGCUUAAUGCCCUAAUUAUGGGCAGUCGCGGAUUUGGUGCAGCGAAGCGCGGUAACGACGGCGGCCUUGGGAGUGUUAGCGAUUAUUGCGUUCAUCAUUGUGUGUGUCCUGUGGUUGUGGUU
rnacentral:misc_RNA from 1 species